rnacentral:rRNA from 1 species
GCGUUGUCCGGAAUUAUUGGGCGUAAAGCGCGCGCAGGCGGUUUCUUAAGUCUGAUGUGAAAGCCCCCCGGCUCAACCGGGGAGGGUCAUUGGAAACUGGGGAACUUGAGUGCAGAAGAGGAGAGUGGAAUUCCACGUGUAGCGGUGAAAUGCGUAGAGAUGUGGAGGAACACCAGUGGCGAAGGCGACUCUCUGGUCUGUAACUGACGCUGAGGCGCGAAAGCGUGGGGAGCGAACAGGAUUAGAUACCCUGGUAGUCCACGCCGUAAACGAUGAGUGCUAAGUGUUAGAGGGUUUCCGCCCUUUAGUGCUGCAGCAAACGCAUUAAGCACUCCGCCUGGGGAGUACGGUCGCAAGACUGAAACUCAAAGGAAUUGACGGGGGCCCGCACAAGCGGUGGAGCAUGUGGUUUAAUUCGAAGCAACGCGAAGAACCUUACCAGGUCUUGACAUCCUCUGACAACCCUAGAGAUAGGGCUUCCCCUUCGGGGGCAGAGUGACAGGUGGUGCAUGGUUGUCGUCAGCUCGUGUCGUGAGAUGUUGGGUUAAGUCCCGCAACGAGCGCAACCCUUGAUCUUAGUUGCCAGCAUUCAGUUGGGCACUCUAAGGUGACUGCCGGUGACAAACCGGAGGAAGGUGGGGAUGACGUCAAAUCAUCAUGCCCCUUAUGACCUGGGCUACACACGUGCUACAAUGGGCAGAACAAAGGGCAGCGAAGCCGCGAGGCUAAGCCAAUCCCACAAAUCUGUUCUCAGUUCGGAUCGCAGUCUGCAACUCGACUGCGUGAAGCUGGAAUCGCUAGUAAUCGCGGAUCACAUGCCGCGGUGAAUACGUUCCCGGGCCUUGUACACACCGCCCGUC